CCUACGGGGGGCAGCAGUGAGGAAUAUUGGUCAAUGGGCGGGAGCCUGAACCAGCCAAGUCGCGUGAGGGAAGACGGUCCUAUGGAUUGUAAACCUCUUUUGUCGGGGAGCAAAGAGAUCACGUGUGGUCAAAAGCGAGAGUACCCGAAGAAAAAGCAUCGGCUAACUCCGUGCCAGCAGCCGCGGUAAUACGGAGGAUGCGAGCGUUAUCCGGAUUUAUUGGGUUUAAAGGGUGCGUAGGCGGGCUUUUAAGUCAGCGGUAAAAAUUCGGGGCUCAACCCCGUCCGGCCGUUGAAACUGGGGGC
rnacentral:rRNA from 1 species